AUUAAUCUAGACACCCAUAACGUACAGGGAAACUGUUUUGGUUUUUUUGUUUGUGUAGUUUUCUUUUUUAAAAGAAAGGCAAUUGUCAGUGAUAUAAAAAUCUACAAAGCAAGCAUGACAAGAAUUCUCUGGCUAUGCAAGAAGACAGAUGCUAUACUGAAAAACAAGAGCAUCAAGUUAAGACGGCGUCUUCGGAGCUAGCUGUAUAUAUAAAGCUUUCAGCAGGGAAGUGUUCCACUUUAUUGACAACGUGAUGCCCAGUCCAAUGAAACAAUCAUCACCAGGAGGUGGCUCCUCUCCUAGGACAUUUGCAAGUCCACCAUGACUGACUGGAAAUCAGAACCAGAACUCAAGGCAGGAACUUGAGAAUAACCAGCGAUAUCCAUGUGGCCAUUGGAUCCUAAUGAGCUUGUCAUCAUCUACACAACUGAAGACAAUGAUUUCUCUUCUUCCUAAAUCUAUCAGUAGCAAAUAGGGACCCAUUGGGUCCCUCCUCCAUCCAUCCCUCAACAUGGACAAGACCAUUUUUUUUCUGUAGAUCCAUUGAAGUCACCCAUAGAGGUUUUGAGUUCAUGACUACAAAUGCUGUCUUGCCAUGAAGAUGACACGUUGUAGCCCUUUUCCACAUCUUCCAGGUCUUACAUUUUCCCACUCUCUUCCAUAACCUGCCUUAAGCCUUCUAGGGAGUUGUGUAUAUGUCUUGUUUGCAGCUGAACACUCAUCUGUCACUUCAUCUCAGUACUUUGUAUAGUCAUGAACCAAUGCAUUCGCCACUGUUCACUGAAAUAAAGAAAGUUUUCUGAUUAAGGCUGAGAAUAAUGAUUAUGUAUGGGUAUAAACAUAAAUAUCUUGAAGGCAGCUCAAGUUAAAUCAGUUUAGCUAAAUAACAGCACUCAGGACUUGUA